ACCUUCACCAGAAAUGACUGCUCUCCCUCCACCAAUUCAAAUCCAAAAUACUCACACUCAAGCAGCUCGGAGCAAGGUGCUGGAGUUCAUAAAAGGGCGUCAGCCAUUCCAUCAGAGAGUUCUCUAGAAGAGAAACAAGUAAAUAAAUUAAUUUACAUAUAUGGUUCCCCUUUUUUUUUGCAGAUUUCUGAGACUUCAAAAGCUCAUAGAGAUGAUGAUGAUGGAGCUGAAUCCCGUCCUUGAUACCUUCUAGACUUGUAUAUGUUUCUUAUUUUGCAAAGUACAUUGUAAUUCUAAGAUAUGAUAAUUUAAAUAUUUCAAAUGAUUUGAAUGUUUGUGUCAAUGUAAAUGUAAUACAGGUUCAUAUUGUUAAAUGUAUUUUUAUAAUUUACAUUCGUAUUUA
rnacentral:lncRNA from 1 species